AUAGCAUAACAAAAAAAAAAGAUCACGAUCGUUAAGGGAUAUUUGUUUGUUUAAUUUUCUUUUUGCUUUUAUUUGAUUGGUCAUGUCUUCCUAUAACUGUUUCAACUUAGGAAAACAACGUUUUAUUCUUCUUUUCUCAAUGACCAACAUCUCCAUCUUCCUUUUUCUCUUCCUCUUGCUCUUUCAAUUUCUUAUAUUUGUUAGUUUAAAAUUUAUGGUACGAAGUUUUUUGUCCAGAAUAACUUUUCAUUAUGAUGCCGGUUUGGUUUCUUCUUAGGAAGGAUAUGAAAGUUUAUGAGAGAUCUUUGGAAGUGUCGAGAGAUAAAAGAGGAUAUACAAUAUUGAUUUGAAGUGCGGAAGAAGAAUAGAAGUCUCAGGAAGUCUUCACGCCACUAACGAAGAUUGAAAUAUGGAUACAAAGAACGAAAAGAAAAGAAAGAAGAAAAACAUGGAUUGAGGAAACUUUCAUAGCCAAUUCUGUUUAUAUAUUUUACAGUUCUUUUUCCUCUGUAAAUUUAUCUUCCUGUUUCUUUUUUUUCCAUUAGCUUGUAUCAUCACAGAAAAAAAAAUUAUUAAUAAAAAUUUAUUUCAAUU